rnacentral:sRNA from 1 species
CUUAACCUGCAUAGCCUAUAAACUGUUGUAAGAGGUACAUCUCCGUUCAUGGAUGCAUUAACAGCCAAUGGGACAACCAGCAUACAGACAUCGGUUACAGGAGUGACUGCCAGCAAAAGGAAAUUUAUUGACGACAGAAGAGACCAGCCUUUUGACAAGCGAUUGCGUUUCAGCGUGAGGCAAACAGAAAGUGCCUACAGAUACAGAGAUAUUGUGGUCAGGAAGCAGGAUGGCUUCACCCACAUCUUGUUAUCCACAAAGUCGUCAGAGAAUAACUCACUAAAUCCAGAGGUAAUGAGAGAAGUCCAGAGUGCUCUGAGCACGGCCGCUGCCGAUGACAGCAAGCUGGUACUGCUUAGCGCCGUUGGCAGCGUCUUCUGUUGUGGACUUGAUUUUAUUUAUUUUAUACGACGUCUGACAGAUGACAGGAAAAGAGAAAGCACUAAAAUGGCAGAAGCUAUCAGAAACUUCGUGAAUACUUUCAUUCAAUUUAAGAAGCCCAUUAUUGUAGCAGUCAAUGGCCCGGCCAUUGGUCUAGGAGCAUCUAUAUUGCCUCUUUGCGAUGUGGUUUGGGCUAACGAAAAGGCUUGGUUUCAAACACCCUAUACUACCUUCGGACAGAGUCCAGAUGGCUGUUCUACCGUUAUGUUUCCCAAGAUAAUGGGAGGAGCAUCUGUGAGUACCUUUUUAAAAAAAAAAAAAAUUAUUCUAGAAAGCUUCCUGAAGAA